GUGGGCGACCUACCUUCGAGUGGGGGAUAACCUUCCGAAAGGAGGGCUAAUACCGCAUGACAUCCCGUGUUUGGAUACACGGACAUCAAAGUCGGGGAUCGCAAGACCUGACGCUUGAAGAGGGGCCCGCGUCCGAUUAGCUAGUUGGUGGGGUAACGGCCCACCAAGGCUCCGAUCGGUAUCCGGCCUGAGAGGGCGGACGGACACACUGGAACUGAGACACGGUCCAGACUCCUACGGGAGGCAGCAGUAGGGAAUUGUUCGCAAUGGGCGCAAGCCUGACGACGCAACGCCGCGUGGAGGAUGAAGACCUUCGGGUCGUAAACUCCUUUCGACCGAGAUGAAUACCUACCGACCUAAUACGUCGGUAGGCUGACAGUAUCGAGGGAAGAAGCCCCGGCUAACUCCGUGCCAGCAGCCGCGGUAAUACGGGGGGGGCAAGCGUUGUUCGGAAUUACUGGGCGUAAAGGGUUCGUAGGUGGCCUGUUAAGUCAGACGUGAAAUCCCUCAGCUCAACUGAGGAACUGCGUCUUGAGACUGGUAGGCUUGAGUGCAGGGAAGAGGAACGCGGAAUU
rnacentral:rRNA from 1 species